AUGAUCCCCACGCACCAGAAUAGGCUAAAAGUGAUGAAAAAGUGUGGCCCUGGAUCCUCUGUAAUUUGCCAGAUCAUCAAUAUUCUGAGCAAAUGUCUGGCAAGCAUUCGUCGGGCUGCUUCAGACAAGGAUGAGGAUCUGAAGGCCUACCGCACUUACCCACCUCAAGGCAACACUGGUCUAAGGCUUGAACAUGGCUUCACCCAGGCCAACUUCUGUAUCCUUGGUCACACUAACAGGUAUGGAUCACUUCUGUUCCAUCAUUCACUGACCACUGAUGUAUGCUUUUCAACCGCUAAUGAUUCUGGGUCCAAUUACCAAUUUAAUUUUUUUUUCAACGUUUAUUUAUUUUUGGGACAGAGAGAGACAGAGCAUGAAUGGGAGAGGGGCAGAGAGAGAGGGAGACACAGAAUCAGAAACAGGCUCCAGGCUCUGAGCCAUC
rnacentral:lncRNA from 1 species